CGAUCUUCGCUGGUGACUUUGGACUGUCUCUGCUGAUGUUCGUGGUGUAUUUUUUUGUUAUGACUUUGGGAGCGAGGCUGUGAAAAGGAUUGCCCCAGGACAAGAAUGGCAGCGGCAGGAUCUGAGGCCUGUAACCAUCACGACAGCGGGAGCUCAUCCGCUAAUUCACUAAUUGACGUCACUUGUCAGAGACAACGCCGAAGCUUUUUUGUUCACCCUACCCGGGACGCCAUUAGUUGUAAUUAACAGGCUGACUGAUCAGGUAAAGUUGGCGAAGAGCUUCUAAUUAUCCCGUCUGCAUGAGCCGGCAGUUUAGGACCUCCUUGUAUAUCAGAUGUAUGGCGGGAGCUUGAAGGUAGAAGUAGAGGUUACGAGUCUGUUAAAUCUUUUCUCCUCACGAGUG
ensembl:lncRNA